rnacentral:lncRNA from 1 species
GUUUUCCUGUUCGAUUUUACUCUAGAAGCCACACACAACAUGCAUAUUCGUUAUAGCAUCAUUAUAGGAAAAGCCAGGAAAUAGAGUUCGUAGGCUGAUGUGUUUUGAGGAAGACCCACGGGGAGUCUCACCCCCCACCCCCACUCCAACCCUGUCCAUAUUUCAGAAUCCAAAUAUAGGUCCUGACCAGGAGAGCAGUUCUCAAAAAGAAUUUUCCCGAGUUGCUCCGAUGUCUAAAAAGACAAACUUCCAGUGAGGGCGACCCCCCAGUCUCACAUCAGCCUGUUGCCUGAUGCCCCUCUAAAAAGGCAAAAACCUCCAAGCGAGAG